GUGUGUGUGUGUGUGUGUGUGUGUGUGUGUGUGUGUGUGUGUGUGUGUGUGUGUGUGUGUGUGUGUGUGUGUGUGUGUGUGUGUGUGUGUGUGUGUGUGUGUGUUAAACUUUUUGUCACAGCGCUUUAUCUCUUUCCGUCUCCUCUCUUUCUCCAUCUCCUCCUCCUCCUCCUCCACCACCCUGCUAAAAUGAAGAGACACAGAGAAAAAGAAGUAACCUUUGACAGGAGUUAUUCCAGUUGUGGUAUGUAUGGCUGCGUAUUGAUCUGCACUGGCUUUAGGAACUAUAGAGAAGAGAGUCAGCGAGUUGCCGCUGCUUUCAAGUCCCACACAAUUUUUUUUCUGGGGAGAGACAAGGAUGCCUUCAGAUGCAUGUUGACCUCCUUAGGUCUCAUAAGCUAUGGAGAUUUGUUUAGAGAAAGGAUUGGGGUGUUGUAACAUGUUCAUGUGUGAGAAAUAAGUUCAGGAGUCUGUGAUCCCAUAUGUAAUCUUCUAUCAUGUUAAUUUCCAUUGUGUGCAUGUGUGAUUUUGUGUGUAUAUGCUUGAGAGAAAAUGGGAGAGAGUGUAUGUUUUGGAUUAUGUAUAAAGUGUCUCUCUCGUUGAGUUUGACCUCCUGACACA